AUGGAUCUAGACCUGGGCGUCUACAUCAAAUACCAACUGGAUGGCUCACUAUUUGACCUUCGCCGCCUGACUGCAAAAACAAAGACAACAGAGAGACUCAUCCUGGAAGCUCUCUUUGCAGAUGACUGUGCUCUCAUGGCCCACCAAGAAAAUCAUCUCCAAACCAUUGUGGACAGGUUCUCCACCGCAACAAAACUGUUUGGCCUGACUAUCAGCCUCAGCAAAACAGAGGUGCUGUUCCAACCUGCACCAGGGAGGCCAACGAACCGGCCAUGCAUUACAAUCGACAGCACGCAGCUUUCUAACGUCAACACCUUCAAGUACCUGGGCAGCACCAUCGCCAACGACGGGUCCCUAGACCAUGAGAUCAAUGCCAGGAUCCAAAAGGCCAGCCAGGCACUCAGGCGGCUGCGCUGCAAAGUCCUCCAACACAGCGGUGUAAGCACUGCAACGAAGCUCAAAGUGUAUAACACAGUGGUCCUCAGCUCACUCCUGUAUGGUUGUGAGACAUGGACACUGUACCGGAAGCACAUGAAGCAGCUGGAGCAAUUCCACCAACGCUCCCUCCGGUCAAUCAUGAGGAUCCGAUGGCAGGACCGAAUCACCAACCAGGAAGUCCUCGACAGAACCAACUCCACCAGCAUCGAAGUCAUGGUUCUCAAAACCCAGCUACGAUGGUCUGGACACGUCAUCCGCAUGGACCCACAGCGAAUACCAAGACAGGUAUUCUAUGGGGAACUGUCAGCUGGACUCAGGAAACAAGGCCGACCAAAGAAAAGAUUCAAGGAUCAGCUAAAGUCCAACUUGAAGUGGGCUGGCAUUACACCAAAGCAACUAGAACUCGCUGCCUCUGUCAGAAGCAGCUGGCGAACCCACAUUAACCAUGCUGCAGCCACCUUUGAAGAUGAGCGACGUCGACGUCUUGCCGCUGCACGUGAACGCCGACACCAGGCCACAACCGCACCUCCCAUAACAACUGGCGUCCCAUGCCCCAUGUGCCACAAACUGUGUGCCUCAGCCUUCAGACUCCAAAGCCAUAUGAGGGUACAUCAAUAG
rnacentral:lncRNA from 1 species